GGGGUUGUAGCUCAGUGGUAGAGCAUUUACUUCGAAAGCAUGAGGUACUGGGUUCAAUCCUCAGCACCA
rfam:Ictidomys tridecemlineatus contig083911, whole genome shotgun sequence.